rnacentral:rRNA from 1 species
UACAGAGGUCUCAAGCGUUGUUCGGAUUCAUUGGGCGUAAAGGGUGCGUAGGUGGCGCCGUAAGUCAGGUGUGAAAUUUCGGAGCUUAACUCCGAAACUGCAUUUGAUACUGCGGUGCUUGAGGACUGGAGAGGAGACUGGAAUUCACGGUGUAGCAGUGAAAUGCGUAGAUAUCGUGAGGAAGACCAGUGGCGAAGGCGGGGUCUCUGGACAGUUCCUGACACUGAGGCACGAAGGCCAGGGGAGCAAACGGG